UACAGCCAUACCACAUUGAACCGCCGGUUCUCAUACGACCACUGAAGUUAAGCAACAUCCAACCAGGUCAGUACCUGGAUCCAUGACCGCUUGAGAACGCCAUGUGCUGUAA